UACGUAGGGAGCAAGCGUUGUUCGGAAUUACUGGGCGUAAAGGGCUCGUAGGCGGCCAACUAAGUCAGACGUGAAAUCCCUCGGCUUAACCGGGAGGGUGGCAUUGAUACUGAUGGGCUUGAGUAAAGUUGAGGUAGGCGGAAUUGACGGUGUAGCGGUGAAAUGCUUAGAUAUCGUCAAGAACACCGAUUGCGAAGGCAGCUUACUAAGCUUUAACUGACACUGAGGCACGAAAGUGUGGGGAUCAAACAGG
rnacentral:rRNA from 1 species